rnacentral:rRNA from 1 species
CACCAGCCCCUCGAGUGGUGGGGAUGAUUAUUUGGCCUAAAGCGUCCGUAGCCGGCCGGGUAAGUUUCCCGUUAAAUCCAGCGUCUCAAGCGUUGGACUGCGGGAAAUACUGCCUGGCUAGAGAGUGGGAGAGGUCAGCGGUAUUCUGGGGGUAGGGGCGAAAUCCUUUGAUCCCCGGAGGACCACCAGUGGCGAAGGCUGCUGACUAGAACACGUCUGACGGUCAGGGACGAAAGCUGGGGUAGCGAACCGGAUUAGAUACCCGGGUAGUCCCAGCCGUAAACGAUGCAUGCUAGGUGUUGGGUUGGCCACGAGCCACCCCAGUGCCGCAGGGAAGCCGUUAAGCAUGCCGCCUGGGAAGUACGAUCGCAAGAUUGAAACUUAAAGGAAUUGGCGGGGGAGCACCACCAGGCGUGAAGCCUGCGGUUU